UCCUGUCUCCUCAUCGUCGUCCGUCCGUCGUGUGAGAACCACGGAACCUUCAUCAUUACAUGAUGACUACAUCAGUCGAUUAGAAAAUCUACAACAGCGUCUCAGUGGAAUGGAUUCUGGUACACCAAAGUCAAGGUCGUUACCACGGAGAUAAAACAUUAAAUAUAAUCACCUCAGCAUUUACGUGAUGUCACUGUCACCUUGACCUCCAAGAGCAGCAUUUACAAAAUCCUUUAUUUUACGGCAAUCAAUGAAAAAUCAAACAAAAGAAUUUUGUUUCACGCAAACUUUUGUGACAAUUUUUGAAACUUUGAAAAUCAUGACAUGUGUAAAGACAGCAGUAACUGAAUCAAGUGUGAAGAAUGUUGACAUGGGAAAAAAUCAUUCUAUCACAUUAAUUUUACUCUCAGAAAUCUGUUUUAUUCACCAAAAUCCUCAUGUUUGAGAAGAAUGUUUCUACUUUAGUUGAUUUACCAUUUGCCCCAUAUUGUUUUCAACGUAAUCCAUAAACGGUCACCAUUAUGCAAACAAUAUAGCAAUAUUUUAUGAUAUUAGAAAUAAUAUUACUAAAUGUAUGUUUCACAAAUAUGUAAAAAGUUGUGUUGCAAUAGUGGUGAACAUAUUGUGUGUGUGAGUUUUGUUCUGUGCUGAUGUUUAUCGUUGAUUUUACUAUGAAACACUAGUCUGUUAAUGCUGUGAUGAUUAAACCAGUCUACGGAAGACUCGUCCACUUAUCAAUCUAUUGAAGAAAGGUUGCAUCUCUUAAUACUCUGUUUCAGAAUACCCAAGUGACAAAAUCAUCUUCGAUUUUAAUGACACAAAGGGAAAUAACUCUGAAUAAAAAGGACACUGUAUAAGUAUCAGGGGAAGUGAGAAUAUCUUAUUAUAAAGUGAUUUGUAGGAAAAUUUGCUCCUUGUAAAUAUUUUCUUUGAUUUCUAUUCAAUCUUUUUAAAGAUUUUAAGGAUUUUGAUAUUUUUAAAACAAAAAUACUAAUAGUUGGUGUUUACAAUAGUUGUUGUUGUUUAAUUAGUUUUAUGAGUUGAAUAUCAUUGUUUUGAUCAGUAUCAUGUUCUAAACUGUUUAAGGAAAGCUCUCAUUUGAUGUGUGCGGUACUCGUACAAUAGCAAUGUGCUACUGUCAAAUUCAGAUGUUUGUUUAAAGGGAAACUUUGAUUCAUAUUUCCAGAAAUAUUUCAAGCAGUGAACAUCAAUCAGUGAAAAGAGAAACGUACACUGCAAUGGAAAUAAAAUUGAUUUAUAUUAAACCAUAUAUACAUGUAUAUUAACAUUCUGUGUCAUUUGAAUUAGUCACACGAUAUUUUGAAUGAAUUUCAUUAGUGUCAUCUAUAAUGUAUAUAACUGGGAAUAUAUGUUUGAAUUGGCCAUUAAAGAAUCAAAAUACUUUAAACUUUA